rnacentral:rRNA from 1 species
AAACACGCCAGCCCGUAGAGUUUGAUUCUUGGCUCAGGACGAACGCGGCGGCGUGCCUAAUACAUGCAAGUCGAGCGGACAGAUGGGAGCUUGCUCCUGAUGUUAGCGGCGGACGGGUGAGUAACACGUGGGUAACCUGCCUGUAAGACUGGGAUAACUCCGGGAAACCGGGGCUAAUACCGGAUGGUUGUUUGAACCGCAUGGUUCAAACAUAAAAGGUGGCUUCGGCUACCACUUACAGAUGGACCCGCGGCGCAUUAGCUAGUUGGUGAGGUAAUGGCUCACCAAGGCAACGAUGCGUAGCCGACCUGAGAGGGUGAUCGGCCACACUGGGACUGAGACACGGCCCAGACUCCUACGGGAGGCAGCAGUAGGGAAUCUUCCGCAAUGGACGAAAGUCUGACGGAGCAACGCCGCGUGAGUGAUGAAGGUUUUCGGAUCGUAAAGCUCUGUUGUUAGGGAAGAACAAGUACCGUUCGAAUAGGGCGGUACCUUGACGGUACCUAACCAGAAAGCCACGGCUAACUACGUGCCAGCAGCCGCGGUAAUACGUAGGUGGCAAGCGUUGUCCGGAAUUAUUGGGCGUAAAGGGCUCGCAGGCGGUUUCUUAAGUCUGAUGUGAAAGCCCCCGGCUCAACCGGGGAGGGUCAUUGGAAACUGGGGAACUUGAGUGCAGAAGAGGAGAGUGGAAUUCCACGUGUAGCGGUGAAAUGCGUAGAGAUGUGGAGGAACACCAGUGGCGAAGGCGACUCUCUGGUCUGUAACUGACGCUGAGGAGCGAAAGCGUGGGGAGCGAACAGGAUUAGAUACCCUGGUAGUCCACGCCGUAAACGAUGAGUGCUAAGUGUUAGGGGGUUUCCGCCCCUUAGUGCUGCAGCUAACGCAUUAAGCACUCC